CCUGUGGUUAAAUUCUGCAGCUACUCUCAAAAUAUUUUGUCUUGUUUGCUCGUGUUGAUUGUAGACUGCUUUUAAAUUAUCUAUCAGGGAAGCCCUAAUAAGAGGUAAAAAAUAACCAUGAGAAUAUGGGGUCGCAGAAAUAGAUGUCAACUGGUGGAAAAUAAGAAGGUGAUAUGGUAUUUUUCUUUUCUUUUUUAAAAAUACUGUCUGAUUUUUAAAGAUUUGGUGAGGAACAUCCAAUCUGUCGAUCGCGGUCGCUAACCAAUUGAUAGAAAAACAGCACUAAUAAUGGUAAGAAGGUGUGCUGUGAAGUGGCAUGAUAAUUUUAAUCAUGGACAUUCAGGUUUCAUUCGUAGGUAGAACUCGGAUGUGCUUUAUUCGAGAUUUUAACACAAAUUUCAUUUUAUUCAUAAAAAAAUUUAUCAUUAAGCUAAUUUGUUACAGCAUUACCUACUAUGGCUCGUCCCGGUUUGUAUUGCUUUGUAUAAUCUUUAGUUGAACGCUAAAUAUAUUAGAGGCUAGCUAAGCGAAUUUGGCUAGAUCUUUACAAGAUUAGUGAAUGUGAUUUUUUAAGGAAAUUGUGCCUGUUGCACAUCGAUAUUAUUGGUCUUGAUUCUUAAGGUGGCUUGGCUAAACUUUCAACGGUUAAACUCUAUUUAAUAAAUAGAUAACAUAACAUUUCGCUAAUGAUCUUGCAUUCUUGACUAAAUAUUUUCAGGCAACUUUAUUUGAAGUUUUUGUGGGCACUGAUUUGCAGAGUGCUCGUGACCAACAGAUAAAAUGGCCCAAUCCAUAUUGCAAAUUUGAAAGUCUUCCAACACCAUCCAAAACCAAGGAAUUUCUAUUUGCAAGUCUAAUUAGGUAGAAAACCUUUCUGAAAAGUUUAAGAGCCAUUGUUAAUUUCAAUUGACCCAUUCCAAUCCCCAGCAACGUAAACCUGCAAAAGGAAAGGCGCAUAAAACUUG
rnacentral:lncRNA from 1 species